AUCCUGUGGAUAGCUCAGUUGGUUAGCGCAUUGUGCUGAUAAUGCCGAAGUUGCAGGUUCGAUCCCCGAAUGGGACA
rnacentral:tRNA from 1 species